rnacentral:misc_RNA from 1 species
UUCUUCAUUAUCAACAAAAUGGUAGUCUCCAAUACUUAUCCUUUACUCGUCCAGACAUCACAUUUGUGGUGAAUAGGGUUGCCCAAUUCCUCCAUAACCCGACUAAGACUCAUUGGGUGGCCGUGAAGAGAAUUCUACGUUACUUGCAGGCAACUAGGCACCAUGGCCUUCAUUUAACCAAGUCCACACAUUACCAGCUACAUGUUUAUUCUGAUGCAGAUUGGGCCAGCUGUGUUGAUGACCGCAAAUCCACAUCAGGCUGUGCCAUCUUUUUUGGCAAUAAUCUCAUUUCCUGGCAUUCUCACAAACAAAGAAUAGUUGCUCGUUCCUCGACCGAGGCAAAAUACCGUGCUCUUGGUGCUGCCACAGCUGAAGUUACGUGGAUUACCACUCUCCUGAAAGAAAUAAACUUAAGUCCCAUUCAAGCUCCUGUGUUAUGGUGUGAUAAUUUGGGAGCGACCUAUCUCUCCUCAAACCCCAUUUUUCAUUCACGAACAAAACACAUAAAGGUGGACUUCCACUUUGUGAGAGACAAGGUUGCUAAGAAAGAAAUCACAGUUCGUUUUCAAUCUUUUAAAGACCAAUUGGCGGACAUCCUCACCAAACCUCUACCAAGACAACGUCAUUCAUUUCUCAGCCGACGAUUGACAAUUCGAGACUUGGCAGCCUCGACUUAAGGGGAUGUGAUAGAGUUAAUAAGAUAUUUGUUAUUAUAAAUCUGUUAUAUUUAUCUAAUUUACCAGCUCAUGUAUAUCCUAUGUAAGCUAACAUUAUCUCUGUAACAACCUACUGUAUUUAAGCAAUAAGCAAUCUUUUUAGUAAUGUAAACAUUAGUCCUGC